CUCACUUCGUCUUUCAUUUCUUCAAGCAAAAGGGAAACCCUUCUCUCUCUCUACCAUUAUAACCUCUAAUUUUUCAAGCUAAAUGAUCCAUUAAGAACCCUAGGGUUUCAAAAUGAGCAACAACACAACCCCCACCACCCCUACUUCCAAUGGCAGCAACUCUCUUCAUUCCAAUCACCAGCAAGAUCCCGCUUCCUACUUUCUCAAGCUUGCGCGGCAGUACUCGCCGGCGCCUGGGGCUCCUUGUGCGUCGACGAUGAUGGAAGAGGACGACCGGGAGGAUGAGCCUACUGAGCUCAACACGAUCAAUAGCUCCGGAGGGUUUCUUGUGAUGUCCACCGACAAGCUUUCUAUUAAGUACACAAAUGUUAAUCUUCAC
rnacentral:misc_RNA from 1 species